GCGGGUUUAGCUCAGUUGGGAGAGCGUCAGACUGAAGUUCCACUUCGGCCCCAAAACCUUGAGUCAAAGGCAUCUGAAGGUCGUGUGUUCGAUCCACACAAACCGCA